rnacentral:rRNA from 1 species
AGGGAUCAUUAUUAGAAGCCGAAAGGCUACUUAAAUCCAUCGCGAACUCAUCCAAGUUGGUUCGGCGGCGCGGCGUCCCUCACGGGGCGCCGCAGCCCCGCCUCUCCGGAGGCGUGGGGCGCCCGCCGGAGGUACGAAACUCUGUAUUAUAGUGGCAUCUCUGAGUAAAAAACAAAUAAGUUAAAACUUUCAACAACGGAUCUCUUGGUUCUGGCAUCGAUGAAGAACGCAGCGAAAUGCGAUAAGUAAUGUGAAUUGCAGAAUUCAGUGAAUCAUCGAAUCUUUGAACGCACAUUGCGCCCGCUAGUACUCUAGCGGGCAUGCCUGUUCGAGCGUCAUUUCAACCCUCAAGCCCUGCUUGGUGUUGGGGCCCUACGGCUGCCGUAGGCCCUGAAAGGAAGUGGCGGGCUCGCUACAACUCCGAGCGUAGUAAUUCAUUAUCUCGCUAGGGAUGUUGCGGCGUGCUCCUGCCGUUAAAGACCAUCUUUAACUCAAGGUUGACCUCGGAUCAGGUAGGAAUACCCGCUGAACUUAA